UCUCGGUUUAUUCCUGCACGUUUCCAGCCCUGAUCUCCUGCCUGCCAACCUGUUCUCUGAUCUUCGACCCGUUUUUGGACCUGGAUAUCCUGACUCUGCCUGCCCCCUGUCUGUUUCCACAGCCCCGGUGGAGCCCCAUUGCUGCCAUCUCGGUUCCUAAAAAUCACCCGGCUGGCUUCCAUUCCCUCUGCUGGCUAGCUGACUGUGAAACCAGACUCGACUCCCCUGGAGAUAUUCUCAC